GGAAGUAAAAGUCGUAACAAGGUCUCCGUUGGUGAACCAGCGGAGGGAUCAUUACUGAGUUAUCAAAACUCCAAACCCUUUGUGAACCUUACCGUCGUUGCCUCGGCGUGAGCUACGGCUACCCUGUAACUACCCUGGAGCUACCCUAGAGUUACCCUAUAGCUACCCUGCACUUACCCUGCAGCUACCCUAUAGCUACCCUGGAGCUACCCUGGAGCUACCCUGUAGUCGGCUUCGGCCCGCCGAAGGACCGUUAAACUCUUGUUUUUACCACUGUUUCUCUGAACUUUAAACUAAAAUAAGUUAAAACUUUCAACAACGGAUCUCUUGGUUCUGGCAUCGAUGAAGAACGCAGCGAAAUGCGAUAAGUAAUGUGAAUUGCAGAAUUCAGUGAAUCAUCGAAUCUUUGAACGCACAUUGCGCCCACUAGUAUUCUAGUGGGCAUGCCUAUUCGAGCGUCAUUUCGACCCCUAAGCCCCUGUUGCUUAGCGUUGGGAAUCUACGGCGUAGUUCCUCAAAGUUAGUGGCGGAGUUAGGGUACACUCUCAGCGUAGUAAUUUCUCUCGCUCGUGUGGUGGCCCUGGCUGCUAGCCGUUAAAACCCCUAUAUUUUCUAGUGGUUGACCUCGGAUUAGGUAGGAAUACCCGCUGAACUUAAGCAUAUCAAUAAGCGGAGG
rnacentral:rRNA from 1 species